rnacentral:ncRNA from 12 species
UUCUAAUAUUAUUUUCGAUGUUCAAGUUUAUGGACUUGUUCCAAUAAAGUAUUAGAUAUUAAAGAGGUUUAUUCCUUCUAUAAAAGGUAAAAAAUGUAUUAAUUUUAGUAUUAAUCUAGUAGAAAAUCGAAAGAAAUAUUAAAAU